GGUCGGUAAUGUAGUUUCCUGCGUAGUUGUCAUGGCCGAAGUGGAAAGGUGAUGAAAAUUUGUCAAAAUAGCAAUAUUUUGACGUUUCGUAAAAUUCGGAUUGAUUUGACAUCAGGCGUAUCGAUUAUUAUACAAAUGGUAUCUAAAUUAUUUGUUUUCCGAUCUACACUAAUCAUAAAUCACUGUGCCUUCAUUACAAAAACAUUUAUUUGACCCUGUUGUUGAAGGUGAGAGAGAAAUUAGUGAUAAUCCCCAAUUCCGCAAAAAAGCACGGUUUUUAACGCUAUCGGCCUUGUGCUUAUCACCGAGCAUAAAACCCUGUGUAGUCGUCGCCCCGUCGUGCCCCAAACCGCCCCCGAGUCGGACCCGAAAGUGCAUAAAUUUAGCUCUGACAUUGGCAUUGUGUGAUCACAAUGGAGUCGCAACGCAUCCCCAAAUAGCCGCCGGCCCUCCGAACCACCACCACACAAAUAUGAUAAAUUCAUGACACAACUCAUCGCAUGAAUAUCGCCUGUUUCUGUACUCAGGUCAGUCAAAACACUCAAAAUGAGCGAAAGCGAUGCGAAAUGGGCAUGUGAAUACUGUACAUACGAAAACUACCCUUCGUCGAUCAAGUGCACCAUGUGCCGGGGCCCCAAGCCGUUCGUCAGUGAGGACAUCUACCGCCUCCACGGCAGCGACGACAAGCUCACGUCCAACGCGGCCGGCCCCUGCGACAACAAAUCUAAACGGAAAUGGUUGUGCGAAGCUUGCACUUUUACCAAUCCCUCACGAGAGCAGAUGUGCCAGCAGUGCGGCGCCUCGCAAGCUGUCUCCGCUAAUAAUUUACAUGAACACAUACAGCCCCUCAAGAUCUCCUCGCAGCACUCGGACUUGGCGCAGAGCUUGUCCAGAUCCAGGAAUAAUAGCCCACCCACUAUUACUAAUUUAGAAAACAGUCGCAGGACUCAGGGGAAGUGGAUCUGUGUUCUAUGUACUUACGAAAAUUGGCCAAAGACCAAGAAGUGCGCCAUGUGCGGCGCCGUCAGCUCCCACCGCCCGCAAGCGUCCAGCCUCAUACUGCCUUCGCCAGAUCGCGACAACGAAUCCGAGAAGAACCGGACCAGCCCGAACAUCCUCGAGUCGGCGCAGACGCCCAACAACCUCGAGAACGAGCGCAAGGCGCGCCAUCUGCGCCGCAACGCCGACUGGAACUGGCUCAACGCCUGCAUCGGCGUGAUCGAGGGCGACCCGAACCCCGUCGAGGCCUACCUGGCCUCCGGGGGCAACCCCGCGCGCACCCUCACCGCCUCCGAGGUCGCCAUCCUCAACCGGAGCUCGGCCUUCGACGUCGGCCACACCCUCGUCCACCUGGCCAUCCGGUUCCAGCGGGAGGACCUGCUCGCGGUCCUGCUGUCCCAGAUCGAGGGCUCGGGUUCGGGCGUGAAGCGGGUGCCCAGCUACGUAGCGCCCGACCUCGCCGCCGACAUCCGCCGCCACUUCGCGUCGAGUCUGCGCCAGAGGAAGGGCAACUUCCCGUGCAACUUCGUCACGGACUUCCCGACGUUCGCGCUGCCGGCUGAGGUGGAGGAGCUCCCGGGCACGGUCCAGGAGCAGCUGUUCAACGAGCUGCUGGACAAGGACGCGCAGUGCCAACUGGAGAGCGAGCCGGCGGUGAUCAACUGGUCGCUGGAGUUGACGGUUAGGUUAGGGUCGCGGCUGUACGCGCUGUGGAAUAGGUCGGCGGGAGACUGUCUACUGGACUCGGUGAUGCAGGCGACGUGGGGGGUGUUCGACAGGGACAACACGUUGAGGAGGGCGCUGGCGGAGAGUCUGAGUCAGAGUGGACACAUGUUUUACCCUCGCUGGAAGGAGUACGAAGCCAGUCAAGCCUCCUUCCUUCAGUACUCGUUAGACGAGGCCCAGUGGGAGGAAGAUUGGACCAGUUUACUGUCGUUAGCGAGCCAGCCCGGAACUAGUCUAGAACAAUUACACGUUUUUACUUUAGCUCAUAUUUUGCGCCGCCCCAUUAUAGUAUACGGAGUCAAGUAUGUGAAAAGUUUUCGGGGUGAAGCGUUGGGUUAUGCCCGUUUCGAGGGUGUGUAUUUGCCGCUAUUGUGGGAGCAGAGUUUCUGUGUGCGCACGCCGAUAGCUUUGGGUUAUACUAGAGGACAUUUUUCCGCUUUGGUUCCCUUGGAACCGUAUAGUCGCUUAGACACGCGGCCUUCCACUCAACAUAGCAAUAUAGGCGCGGACCAGCUUCAAAGUACGUUUCUUCCGCUAAUGGAUCGAGAUCGGAAGCUGCUUCCGAUACACUUUCUCACCGAAUCAGAGCUGGGCCGGGAAGAGACCAUCCUGCGGCAGUGGCUGGAUGUAUGCGAGACCGAAGGAGGUAUCCUCGUGGCGCAGCAGCUGCUGCACAAGCGCCCCCUGUUGGUUGCUCAAAUGGUGGAGGAAUGGUUGAAUCAUUAUAGGAGGUUGAUUCAGAUGACGUCAGCACCGUUCGCCAGACCCAUCCCCAUCCAAGACUACUUGAGCGAAUACGACACUGACGAUGAAUAGCGAAGGGUAAAAGUCGUGUCGGAAUGACGCGAUGGUAGCAAUGAUUUUUAGGAGAAAUUUUCAAUAACUCAGUAUGUCUCGUGACGGUGACUAGCUUUAGUUUAGGAAUUCGCUAGAAAGAGGAAAUUAUUUCAACAGCAAGAAUUGUUGCACGGCGUCAUUGUGGGAAUUGAUCUGAAUUUAAAUUAUUUGUUUUUUCGUAUUUUAAAUAAGGGCAUACUUCUUCCUCUUGCCUAUGCAAACAUUGUAUAGAUUUCCCUGUGGGUAGGAUAUAUUUAUUUUUAUAGAUAGCUGAAGUACAAAUAAAUCGCAAAAAAUAUAUAUUUAUUUCAUUGUGUGCGGGUUAUUACCGGUGGAGCACUAUAGUUCCUUCGUUCGUAACCGAACUUCUUUGUGAUGAUGUGCUUUAUUUUAUUUUAUUUUUUUUGUACAUGGAGAUGUUGGUUGGAUUUAUUGUUUUGUUGGGUUGUUACUAUCAUUUCUUGUUGUGCUGUGAAAUAUUUAAAGCGAAAAAGCAAAUUGUAUGGUUUUUAAGAUAACAAAUCCAAAGUCAAAUUACUUCUAACUUUAUUAGAUAGAACGUUUCUGAAUAGAUUCUUAAAUUGUGAAAUACUUACGAAAUUUAUUAUACAUAAUUAUAUUGCAUUGUUAACACACUGUUAUAAAAAAUAUAUAUUAUAAAUAGAAAAUAAAACGUUUAAAAACAUUAAACUAUUGCAUAACAGUGGAGCGUUUUCAUACCGACCCUCAUCAAAUAAAUACAUCGGUUUUUUUAAACAAGUUUUUUUAUUUGACUUAACAGUACUUUAAAACACCAUACACCUUUUUUUUAACGAAAUGAGAAAAUCCAACAUUUCACCUCACGCUAACAUACCCUGAUCAUGUCCCUUCCUGGCAAGAUCUUGCUGACGAAGCACAGAAAAUUCUAAUUUGAGAGAUGAACUCGCCAUGUAAUGCACCUGGGCACUGAGAGAAUUCUCAGCUAUUAGACCCCAGGACACAACAGUCGUGGAAAGGGUUCCCUGGCUGUUAAUAGCUAUGUGGUGGCAACCAAAUGCAACAAAGCACACGUUGACUGAAUAAGUGUGGAGGUAAACGCGGUUUAUGGAGGAAACAGUGGCGUAUGAACGUGAAGGUGUCCUUUGUCGGUACCCUUUCUGAGUACAAAGUUAGGGCGAUUUCUGAUAAUUGAAAAACUUCACUACUUCCUCCAGUUUACCAUAAUCCGAGUUGUCACCCCAUACUGACAAACUACCCGCUGGACAUCAUACUACCCGACCCGCUCCCCACAUAACAGGUACCAUUUUUGUGUGGAACAUGUCCGUGAAAACCUUAUCGUGUCCCUAAAUCCAACGGGUACUGUUGGACCGGGCCAGUACCUGAAGAUCGAGCGUUGAAGACGACAACAAUAAGUGGACUAGGGGAGAUCCUCCCCCGGUGAGUGACAUCUCAUACGUUAUUGACGGUAGAUAAAUCAGGUGUCUAUUUUCAUGAUUGGGGACCAUCACUACGGCGUCACUUUCGAGGCGAGUGAAUUUGCAGACCCAUCAUUUGUAACUACUAGACCAUUACCGAUAAUUAAUUUGUGCUAAAGGCGUCUUUUCGUCAUGAAUCAUCUUACAUUCUGAGGUGUCCCGAUUCAAAAUUAAAGCCACGAGGAACACACAAGAAGAAAAAAAGAAAAAAAACAUACGGUCCAAAAGAUCAGACCAAUCUUUGAAAACUAUCACUACGUCAUUCUCUUGGCAAGUUAUGUAGUGGCGUCGCUUUCCUUCCUCCUGCACUUAUCGCUCAUGAAAAUGCUUUUGUAGUGCCUUCUGGCAUUUUUGCCAACCUUACCACGAGUCGAAUACUACAUUUUAUUGUGCAAAUAAUAAAAAAAACACAUUAAA